ACAAACAAAGAAUAUCUAAACGUGCAGUCAGCUGGAGGCAUUAAAGAAGACAGCAUGUUUGAGUAGUUCGGCUUUCUCAUAACACCCGGAGGCAGAACAAAUGUGACUGUUCUCAACUCCAGUUCUAGGAAAAUCUUCUAGGAUAUUUUUUUAGACACACUUUGUCCCAUUUGGAUUAGCUGUGAUCUCUGACUCGCUUCAGAUUUUCAAUUUAUAAAAAGGAUACAUUUUCACAUACAAGGAGAAGAUUUCUUAUGUUCUGUGAACACAUCCUGCAACUGCGCCUCUGAGGUUUGCAAUCAUAAUAUUCAUCAUUGCAGGAGAUGGCCUGAUAUCCUAUCCAGAUACCAUGAUGUGAGUUACAGAGCAUGCAAUGCAACUACCAGCAAAGUAACAUUGUACA